GACAUCCCGUUCACAAGAGCUGACCCAAUGGUUGCUGAUUACAAAUAUGACCUGAAGCUCCAAGAAUACCAAAGUGCGAUCAAAGUAGAGCCUGCGUCCCCGCCUUAUUAUUCUGAAAAAACCCAACUCUACAACAGGCCACAUGAAGAGCCUUCAAACUCCCUCAUGGCCAUCGAGUGCCGAGUCUGUGGGGAUAAAGCAUCAGGCUUCCACUAUGGAGUCCAUGCUUGUGAAGGAUGCAAGGGUUUUUUCCGAAGAACCAUCCGAUUGAAGCUUAUUUAUGAUAGGUGCUCCAGAAGAUGACAGACCUCAGGCAGAUUGUCACAGAGCACGUGCAGCUACUGCAUGUGAUCAAGAAGACGGAGACAGAUAUGAGCCUUCACCCUCUGCUCCAGGAGAUCUACAAGGACUUGUAUUAGCAGAAAAGUCCCAGUCGCUGACAAAGUGUUCCUUCUAUCGAUUGCACUAUUAUUUUGAGGGGAAAAAAAUCUGACACCUAAGAAAUUUACUGUGAAAAAAGCAUUUAAAAACAAAAAGUUUUAGAACAUGAUCUAUUUUAUGCAUAUUGUUUAUAAAGAUACAUUUACAAUUUACUUUUAAUAUUAAAAAUUACCACACU
rnacentral:lncRNA from 1 species